rnacentral:tRNA from 1 species
GGAGGGGUGCUAGAGUGGUUUAAUAGACCGGUCUUGAAAACCGGCGUGCGGGCAACCGUACCGUGGGUUCGAAUCCCACCCCCUCCG